AAGCCUGAUGCAGCCAUGCCGCGUGUAUGAAGAAGGCCGUUCGGGUUGUAAAGUACUUUCAGCAGUGAGGGAAGGCGGAGUCGUUAAUAGCGGCCCUCGGUUUUGACGUUAGCUGCAGAAGAAAGCACCGGCUAACUCCGUGCCAGCAGCCGCGGUAAUACGGAGGGUGCGAGCGUUAAUCGGAAUUUACUGGGCGUAAAGCGCAUGCAGGUGGUUUUGUUAAGUCAGAUGUGAAAGCCCGGGGCUCAACCUCGGAAUUGCAUUUGAAAACUGGCAGACUAGAGUACUGUAGAGGGGGUAGAAUUUCAGGUGUAGCGGUGAAAAUGCGUAGAGAUCUGAAGGAAUACCGGUGGCGAAGGCGGCCCCCUGGACAGAUACUGACACUCAGAUGCGAAAAGCGUGGGGAGCAAACAGGAUUAGAUACCCUGGUAG
rnacentral:rRNA from 1 species